AUGGCAACAGAAUCCACAACAACAAUGACUUUUAUCAGCAUCUUCAUCUGGGCACUUGUCAUCUGCACUCAGGAAUCCAGUGGACAGUAUACUGUGACUCAGACUCCAGCAGUGAAAUCUGUUCUCCCAGGAGACACAGUCGCUCUGAGCUGUAAAGUCAGCAGUGCAGUGUACAAUAACAACGCACUAGCCUGGUACCAACAGAAACCUGGAGAAGCUCCCAAACUCCUGAUCUAUGCUGCAAGUACCCUUGAGUCUGGGAUCCCAACUCGUUUCAGUGGCAGUGGAUCUGGGACUGACUUCACUCUGACCAUCAGUGGAGUCCAGGCUGAAGAUGCAGGAGAUUACUACUGUCAGAGUUACCACUACGUCAACAGUAGAGAUGUGUUCACACAGUGCUACACACCCGUACAAAAACCUCCCUCAACAGGACUGCAGAUUACCGGAUUGGUGUCGACUGGAUCUUCCGUUCAGAGCGGACAGAAAGACAAGGCUGCCUCCCAGUCUCUCUUCACUGCCAGUUACGUCUCCUAGACCAGUGCGCUCAUUAUACUGGGACCAGUAAACCUCACACACUGAGCCACUGCUUUUGCACCGAAAAAAAUCUGAAUUUUACAUCCAAAAGAUGCUUUUUACAAAUAAAAAAAAAAAGUGAAAUGUGCAGGCGUCUGUCUGUAAGCCUUUCUUUCUUCCAGAGCGUUUGAAGUCAUGGGGAGAUUUAAAUAAAAAUCUACACUGUUGGAAA